CAUUUUUAAUGUGUGCUCUUUUCCUUUGGGGUAAAGUUUCUGGAAAGUACUGAGCCAGAGAAAGAAAGGGUUUGAGCUCUGAUCGUCGGCGAUGAAAAGCCUGCUUUCUUUGAAUGUUUUUUCUGGAGCAGGUGGAUAGUGAAGAAGAAGAAGAAGAAGAAGAAGAAGAAGAAGAAGAAGAAGAAGAAGAAGAAGAAGAAGAAGAAGAAGAAGAAGAAGAAGAAGAAGAAGAAGAAGAAGAAGAAGAAGAAGAAGAAGAAGAAGAAGAAGAAGAAGAAGAAGAAGAAGAAGAAGAAGAAGAAGAAGAAGAAGAAGAAGAAGAAGAAGAAGAAGAAGAAGAAGAAGAAGAAGAAGAAGAAGAAGAAGAAGAAGAAGAAGAAGAAGAAGAAGAAGAAGAAGAAGAAGAAGAAGAAGAAGAAGAAGAAGAAGAAGAAGAAGAAGAAGAAGAAGAAGAAGAAGAAGAAGAAGAAGAAGAAGAAGAAGAAGAAGAAGAAGAAGAAGAAGAAGAAGAAGAAGAAGAAGAAGAAGAAGAAGAAGAAGAAGAAGAAGAAGAAGAAGAAGAAGAAGAAGAAGAAGAAGAAGAAGAAGAAGAAGAGGAGAAGGGAGGAGAAAAGUGUGACCAGAGUUGAGAGAUGCAGAGAAUUCAGAAGAAACGUUUUCAAAGGAGUUGAUAUUGUUGAGCUAUUAAAGCGGAAUCAAAUUAAUUUAUUUCAAAAUAAAUUGGACGUGGAAUUUUAAGAGACUAUUUUUAUAAUUUAUUUUGGUCACUCGAGUUUGGAUCUAGUUACACAUUGGUCACUCAAAUUUUU
rnacentral:lncRNA from 1 species